ACAAGCGGUGGAGUAUGUGGUUUAAUUCGAUGCAACGCGAAGAACCUUACCUGGCCUUGACAUCCCGGGAAUUUCCUGGAAACAGGAGAGUGCUUUCAUUAGAGAGAACCUGGAGACAGGUGCUGCAUGGCUGUCGUCAGCUCGUGUCGUGAGAUGUUGGGUUAAGUCCCGCAACGAGCGCAACCCUUGCCUUUAGUUGCCAGCAGUUCGGCUGGGCACUCUAAAGGGACUGCCGGUGUCAAACCGGAGGAAGUGGGGAUGACGUCAAGUCCUCAUGGCCUUUAUGGCCAGGGCUACACACGUACUACAAUGGCCGGUACAAAGGGCAGCGACAUUGCGAGAUGGAGCGAAUCCCGAAAAAGCCGGUCUCAGUCCGGAUUGGAGUCUGCAACUCGACUCCAUGAAGUUGGAAUCGCUAGUAAUCGUGGAUCAGCAUGCCACGGUGAAUACGUUCCCGGGCCUU
rnacentral:rRNA from 1 species